AGCAAUCAGCGAGACUCCGUGGGCGUAGGACCCUCCGAGCCAGGUGCGGGAUAUAUUCUCGUGGUGCGCCGUUUUUUAAGCCCGUCGGAAAGGCGCAGUAUUUGGGUAGGAGUGACCCGAUUUUCCAGGUGCCGUCCGUCACCCCUUUCUUUGACUCAGAAAGGGAACUCCCUGACCCCUUGCGCUUCCCAAGUGAGGCAAUGCCUCGCCCUGCUUCGGCUCGCGCAUGGUGCUCGCUCCCACUGACCUGCGCCCACUGUCUGGCACUCCCUAGUGAGAUGAACCCGGUACCUCAGCUGGAAAUGCAGAAAUCACCCGUCUUCUGCGUCGCUCACGCUGGGAGCUGUAGACUGGAGCUGUAGACAGGAGCUGUUCCUAUUCGGGCAUCUUGGCUCCUCCUUGACAAGCUUGAAGGUGAGCACCUCGAAGGGCUUCUUUUUAUGUUGAAAGGCACGGGUUUGCAUGGCGGUUCAUCAGAGGUCAAUACCCCAGUUUGAGAAAGUCCACUGUGGGGAGGAAAGAGAGACUUGUAAGUACCAACUGUGCUCCACUCUGGUUUUGUCUGUAAGCCUGGAAGACUCAAGCUCUGGGACACUUUCCUUCUAGUCUUGGGACUGGUAGCACCUCCAGCAACUCCCACCCCGCUGCGGGCAAGCUGUUCCUUUUCUUUUAACCUAUUUGUCUCCAUGGUCCUUUUACUUGCUUUUCCGGAUUAAAUAUCUAAAGCCUCCUUCAUGUUCAUGAGUCUCUGCUCUGGGGUCUUCACUUUUAGGCCAGUCUAGAAGGAAGGAUGCCUUCUAUGAAUGGUGACAGGUUGAGCCAGACUUGACAUUUCAAAAUUUUCUGUGGCUCAGCUAAUGUGACAUGGAAGUAGCACACUCUAGGACUGUUUGUGCUGACUUCUGAUGUCUCUGAUGAGAGUGUGAGGAUAUCAGCCCAGGAAGAGGAGAGGUCCAGAGAAAGAGAGACCAGGACAUGCCCUUGCCACCUCCCUCUGUGCUUCCCCUACACCAUCUGACCUCCCCAAAGGUCAGAUCCUCCCUGCUGUGUGACAGGAAAGCACACUUUACUGUUUUCGUCUUUUAAAAAUGUUUGAAUAUCUUUUCUAUGUGUUUUUUUUUUAAAUUAGAUUGGGGCCAGGCAUUCCACUGUGAAAUACAAAUAAAACCCAGAGGCCGGUUGAGGUGGCUCACGCUUGUAAUCCCAGCACUUUGGGAGGCCGAGGUGGGGUGGAUCACCUGAGGUCAGGAGUUCAAGACCAGUCUGGCCAACAUGGUGAAACCCCAUCUCUACAAAAAUACAAAAAUUAGCCGGGCAUGGUGCCAUGUGCCUAUAAUCCCAGCUGCUCGUGAGGCUGAGGCAGAAUUGCUUGAACCCUGGAGGUGGAGGUUGCAGUGAGCCAAGACCGUGCCACUGCACUCCAGCCUGGGUGACAGAGCGAGACUCCGUCUCAGAAAAAUAAACAAACAAAUAAAUAAUAAAACCCUGAGCCCUCUGACUGACUGAACAGACCCCUCUUGGCCAAGGUGACCCCCAAAAAACUAAAAACUAAGUUUCCCGGCCGUAAGGAGAUGGGAAAUUGCGCCUCCGUAUACCCCUUCCUCACUGUUACCAGGGUUUUUUUUUGUUUGUUUCCCAAAUUAAACAGAAACAAGCCCUGGAAAAACAAAGAAUGGAACACCCCUCCGCUGACUUCAACCAACUGCCUGCUGAUGCGGCCUGACUCCCAGCCCUUUUUGCAGUUUUGAAGUGACAAACUGACUAGGCUACAAAGUAUUCAACCAUGGGCUGGUUCUGGCUGGUUCACCGAGGCUGUGUACAAAGUGUCUUCAUGUCCUGUGUUUCACCUUUUAACAUACAGAACCUAAUUUUACUGCAUUUUAAUGUUAAUUCUCCACUCGAAGGUGAACAUGGGAUGUAUGUAACACAUAUGUUUGCUUAUCAAGCACACAUAUGACCCCCUUUCAUGAAUAUUCAUAGUUCCCCCUGUGACCUGUUGAAUAUGUCUGUUUAGCCAACCUGUUUGGCAUAAAACUCCUAUCCCACCCUAUCUCCCUCAAAGUACCUGUUUGUGGUCUCAGCUGGAGGUGCCACUUCCCAGCCUGCAGUUUGCAACCCUUCUCAAGAAAUAAAGUCUUCCUUUCCA
rnacentral:lncRNA from 1 species